AUACUUACCUGGCAGGGAAGAUACCAUGAUCAUGAAGCUGGUUUUCUCAGGGUGAGGCUUAUCCAUUUCACUCCGAUGUGCUGAUCCCUGAGAUUUCUCCAAAUGUGGGAAACUCGACUGUAUAAUUUGUGGUAGAAGGAGACUGCAUUUGUGCUCCACUCUGG